UACAGAGGAGCCAAGCGUUGUCCGGAUUGACUGGGCGUAAAGCGCACGCAGGCGGUUGCGCGCGUGGGGUGUGAAAUCUGGCCGCUUAACGGCCAGGCGCCAUCCCAUACGGCGCGACUGGAGCGAUGCAGAGGUCGGUGGAAUUGCCGGUGUAGUGGUGAAAUGCGUAGAUAUCCGGAGGAAUACCAAAGGCGAAGGCAGUGUCCUGGGGAGUGUCUGACGCUCAGGCGCGAAAGCUAGGGGAGCGAACAGG
rnacentral:rRNA from 1 species